UACGUAGGUGGCAAGCGUUGUCCGGACUCAUUGGGCGUAAAGAGCUCGUAGGCGGCCACUCAAGUCGAAUGUGAAACCUCGAGGCUUAACCUCGAGCCUGCAUUCGAUACUGGGUGGCUAGAGUCUGGUAGGGGGAUCUGGAAUUCCUGGUGUAGCGGUGGAAUGCGCAGAUAUCAGGAGGAACACCGGUGGCGAAGGCGGGAUCCUGGGCCAGUACUGACGCUGAGGAGCGAAAGCGUGGGGAGCAAACAGG
rnacentral:rRNA from 1 species